GGAGGAGUUCUGUGCGCGCACCCUCCCCUCUCUUCUGCUUCCCCUCCCCGUUUGUCGGACAGCUGAGGAGAACCUAGACGCUGACUGCAAUCGCAGCACUGGCUCCCGCGACCCUAGCGAGAGCGAGGGAGCAAUUGCAACUCUGAGAGGCGCGGGAGGAGAGCCGGGCUCCGUGCAGCGCUGCCUCCAGUCGGGUCCUGUCCCGCGGACCUCCUCCCCCCGCCGCAGGGUCUGGCGGGGAGGAGGAGUGUGUGUGCUGGGGGAGCCGGGCUGGAGUCGGAGCCGAGCCUCGGAGGAGAUGGGGAACCCGGGAGAAAAGCGGCGGGAGCAGCAGAAGCAGCAGAAGCCUUGUUUCGCUCCGGGGCUGUAGCAGCUUUCUCCUUUUCCUUGGAAUGAUGAUCAGGCACUGAAGGCAGGCACCUAAUUUCCAUUCCAUACAAGGAGUAAGAAGUACUGUUGCUCAGAUGUCACACCAAACACUGGAUUACAGGAAGGAAAUUUUUUAAAAACAUCACAAGUGGCGUUGAUGAGAUUCUUUUAUUUUUGCCUUUGAAGAAGUGAUAUUCUGAUGAC